rnacentral:rRNA from 1 species
UACGAAGGGGGCUAGCGUUGUUCGGAAUUACUGGGCGUAAAGCGCGCGCAGGCGGCUAUCCAAGUCAGUGGUGAAAGCCCGGGGCUCAACUCCGGAAUUGCCUUUAAGACUGCAUCGCUAGAAUUGUGGAGAGGUAAGUGGAAUUCCGAGUGUAGAGGUGAAAUGCGUAGAUAUCGGAAGGAACACCUGUGGCGAAAGCGGCUCACUGGACCAUUACUGACGCUGAGGCACGAAAGCGUGGGGAGCAAACAGG